UACGUAGGGACCGAGCGUUGUCCGGAUUCAUUGGGCGUAAAGAGCUCGUAGGCGGCUGUUCAAGUCGAACGUGAAAACUCGGAGCUCAACUCCGAGCCUGCGUUCGAUACUGGACGGCUAGAGUCUGGUAGGGGGAUCUGGAAUUCCUGGUGUAGCGGUGGAAUGCGCAGAUAUCAGGAGGAACACCGAUGGCGAAGGCAGGUCUCUGGGCUGACACUGACGCUCAGGCACGAAAGCGUGGGGAGCAAACAGG
rnacentral:rRNA from 1 species